rnacentral:other from 3 species
AGUUGUCUGGACUAUUGGUGAUUUAGUUGCAAUCUUGUACCGAUACUUAGAAUAGGGAGCUUGGUGUUUGAACUAGAGAGCAAGCUUUGAUGCAAUGCAUUCACAAAGAAGCCCAACGUUGAGACUAUGGCACCCAAACUUGAUGCCAUAGAGAUCAAGAACAUUGAACUAAAACGGUAAUCUGGACAACUA